AACGCAUAUUGCGCCCUCUGGUAUUCCGGAGGGCAUGCCUGUCCGAGCGUCAUUACUACCUCUCAAGCACAGCUUGUUGUUGAGUCUGUCCAUCCAGACAGGCUUGAAAUGCAGUGGCGAUGCCAAGUUGGUGCCCAAGUGUAUGGGGCUUUGUCACACGCUUUGUGGCCCAGCGGGCAUUUGCCUUUUAACUAAGUUAGUUAAACCUAAACAAGAUUUGACCUCGGAUCAGGUAGGAAUACCCGCUGAACUUAA
rnacentral:misc_RNA from 2 species